GUUAUGUCAUGUUAUCGAUAUGUGAAUACAUAGCAUAUCAGAAGGCACACCCGGAGAACUGAAACAUCUUAGUACCCGGAGGAAGAGAAAGAAAAUUCGAUUCCCUUAGUAGCGGCGAGCGAAACGGGAAGAGCCCAAACCAACAAGCUUGCUUGUUGGGGUUGUAGGACACUCUAUACGGAGUUACAAAGGACGACAUUAGACGAAUCAUCUGGAAAGAUGAAUCAAAGAAGGUAAUAAUCCUGUAGUCGAAAAUGUUGUCUCUCUUGAGUGGAUCCUGAGUACGACGGAGCACGUGAAAUUCCGUCGGAAUCUGGGAGGACCAUCUCCUAAGGCUAAAUACUCUCUAGUGACCGAUAGUGAACCAGUACCGUGAGGGAAAGGUGAAAAGCACCCCGGAAGGGGAGUGAAAUAGAACCUGAAACCGUGUGCUUACAAGUAGUCAGAGCCCGUUAAUGGGUGAUGGCGUGCCUUUUGUAGAAUGAACCGGCGAGUUACGAUUUGAUGCAAGGUUAAGCAGUAAAUGUGGAGCCGUAGCGAAAGCGAGUCUGAAUAGGGCGUUUAGUAUUUGGUCGUAGACCCGAAACCAGGUGAUCUACCCUUGGUCAGGUUGAAGUUCAGGUAACACUGAAUGGAGGACCGAACCGACUUACGUUGAAAAGUGAGCGGAUGAACUGAGGGUAGCGGAGAAAUUCCAAUCGAACCUGGAGAUAGCUGGUUCUCUCCGAAAUAGCUUUAGGGCUAGCCUCAAGUGAUGAUUAUUGGAGGUAGAGCACUGUUUGGACGAGGGGCCCCUCUCGGGUUACCGAAUUCAGACAAACUCCGAAUGCCAAUUAAUUUAACUUGGGAGUCAGAACAUGGGUGAUAAGGUCCGUGUUCGAAAGGGAAACAGCCCAGACCACCAGCUAAGGUCCCAAAAUAUAUGUUAAGUGGAAAAGGAUGUGGCGUUGCCCAGACAACUAGGAUGUUGGCUUAGAAGCAGCCAUCAUUUAAAGAGUGCGUAAUAGCUCACUAGUCGAGUGACACUGCGCCGAAAAUGUACCGGGGCUAAACAUAUUACCGAAGCUGUGGAUUGUCCUUUGGACAAUGGUAGGAGAGCGUUCUAAGGGCGUUGAAGCAUGAUCGUAAGGACAUGUGGAGCGCUUAGAAGUGAGAAUGCCGGUGUGAGUAGCGAAAGACGGGUGAGAAUCCCGUCCACCGAUUGACUAAGGUUUCCAGAGGAAGGCUCGUCCGCUCUGGGUUAGUCGGGUCCUAAGCUGAGGCCGACAGGCGUAGGCGAUGGAUAACAGGUUGAUAUUCCUGUACCACCUAUAAUCGUUUUA
rnacentral:rRNA from 1 species